UACGUAGGGGGCUAGCGUUGUCCGGAUUUAUUGGGCGUAAAGAGCGUGUAGGCGGCCAGGUAGGUCUGCUGUGAAAACUCGAGGCUCAACCUCGAGACGUCGGCGGAAACCAUCUGGCUAGAGUCCGGAAGAGGAGAGUGGAAUUCCCGGUGUAGCGGUGAAAUGCGCAGAUAUCGGGAGGAACACCAAUGGCGAAGGCAGCUCGCUGGGACGUUACUGACGCUGAGACGCGAAAGCGUGGGGAGCAAACAGG
rnacentral:rRNA from 1 species